GGCUCGGGCGCGGACCGGUGGGACGGUCCGCAGGAAUGGAGCCCGCUGACAUCCGUUUCGCUUGCGGCAGCGCGGCCGAGCCCGAAGGCACGCGCG
rnacentral:ncRNA from 1 species